rnacentral:SRP_RNA from 1 species
UGGUCCCUCCGCAAGUAUUCACCGUGAACCCCGCCAGGCCCGGAAGGGAGCAACGGUAGCGGUAUCGUAUUGUGCCGGAGUGUGGCU